UGUAAAGUUUAUAACAGAUUUGUUUCAUUCGACUGUUGUUUCUCUAGUGUCAUGUUUAACGUAAGUUGAAAUUUAAUACCUCUUAAAUCUUUCAGUUCUUCGUUUACUAUGUCAAAUACCAAUGGUUUUAU